rnacentral:rRNA from 5 species
UAAAAAUAACUUCGACUUUCAUUAAUCCCGAGGUCGUGGCAAGGGAAAUGUGUCAGCUUUCAAACUAGAGAUAGGUUUGGGAAGAGGGGCUAUUAGCUCAGCUGGUUAGAGCGCACCCCUGAUAAGGGUGAGGUCUCUGGUUCAAGUCCAGAAUAGCCCACCUGUUUAAUUCCAGGCGAGGAUAAUUUCAGCACCGAGUCUCAUCAAAAGAGACAGAAUGCUGGAUGUAAAUUCCAGUCAGUACCUUGAAAACUGCAGAAAAAAUAAGUCAAUCAAGUCCAAGAAAAAGACCAAAAAGGUCAAGCUACAAAGGGCUAACGGUGGAUACCUAGGCACACAGAGGCGAAGAAGGACGUAGUUACCGACGAUACGCUCCGGGGAGCUGGAAGCAAGCAUUGAGCCGGAGAUUUCCCAAUGGGGCAACCCCAAGAACGGUCACCUGAAUCUAUAGGGUGAUGCGAGCGAACUGGGCGAACUGAAACAUCUUAGUAACCCAAGGAAGAGAAAGCAAAAGCGAUUCCCCUAGUAC